GAAGCUGGAUUCGCUGUAAUCGCGCAUCAGCCACGGCGCGGUGAAUACGUUCCCGGGGCCCUUGUACACACCGCCCGUCAAGCCAUGGAAGCCGGGAGUGCCUGAAGUGCGUGAGCGCAAGCAGCGCCCUAAGGUAAAACCGGUGACUGGGGCUAAGUCGUAACAAGGUAUC
rnacentral:rRNA from 1 species